AGUGAACGUUGGCGGCGUGGAUUAGGCAUGCAAGUCGAGCGAGAACCGUAGCAAUACGGGGACAGCGGCGAAAGGGACAGUAAUGUGUAGGUACCUACCCCGAGGUCUGGGAUAGCUGCGGGAAACUGCAGGUAAUACCGAAUAAUGUCUUCGGACCAAAGGUGUGAUUCCACCUUGGGAGGGGCCUGCAUCCUAUUAGCUAGUUGGCGGGGUAAUGGCCCACCAAGGCAACGAUGGGUAGCGGGUGUGAGAGCACGACCCGCGUCAUUGGGAGUGAGACACUGCCCAGACACCUGCGGGUGGCUGCAGUCGAGGAUCUUCGGCGAUGGGCGAAAGCCUGACCGAGCGACGCCGCGUGCGGGAUGAAGGCCUUCGGGUUGUAAACCGCUGUCGUAGAGGAGGAAAUGCAGGGGGGUUCUCCCUUCUGUUUGACCUAUUCUAGGAGGAAGUACGGGCUAAGUUCGUGCCAGCCGCCGCAGUAA
rnacentral:rRNA from 1 species